rnacentral:lncRNA from 1 species
UUCCCAAAGUAUUUUCCAUUUCUUUAAUUGUUUUGAAAUGACCUCAAAUUUGUUCUAAAAACAAUCUGUUUUUUGAACAAAUUCUGGAAACUUUUUUUUUUUGUCAAAAGUAUGGAAAAUGUAUUUUCUCAGUUAGAAAACUAUUUUUUAUUCCAAAGAACAUAAAACUGUUUUCAAGAAUAGUUUUCAAACAAACCCUUAACUUAUCUUUUUGUUCUUUAUGAACCAUAUCUUCUAUAUGAACUCUGUAACAAUCAUACUAUGGGUACUGAGGCCCUAGACACCUAAAAGUUACUAUAAGACUAAUUUUUAACCAAUCAAGAUUAGUUAUUAUUACCACCAUUUGUUUUCCUGUUUGUAUUUUAAUUGGUACAUAGUUUUUGAAGGUGCACAUGGGCCCAGGGCACAGACACAUCCGGUUGUGACACUCCACCUGACAUGGUUACCACCUUGGUGGAGAGGUGUCUGUUCCAAUUUCUGUGCCCUUUUCCAAAAUUGAAACGGAAAACAACAUCAUUUUGCCCUCUGUUCUUUGUUUUUCUAUUUUUUGGAAAGUUGAAGGCAAAGUUAUGCCCAUGACAUUGUGUUGGAAGAUGUUGACACCAAAAAGAAAUGCUUAUAUUUGUCUCUGAUUUCUUAGCACUGAAAAAAGAAUAUAUAUAUAUAUAUAUAUAAGUUUCAUCUUGGCAAUUGCUGACUGUAUUAAAAUUUUGUAUUGUUGCAUUAUAUUUUGUUGGAUUCUUCUUUUAAAUGCUUGCAAUGUUGAUCUUUUUGUUGCUUGGAUUAGAAUUUGGGAUCAUAUUUGGUGAUAUACAUGUGUAUGACAAAUGUUUGUAUGUCCAAAUUUAUAAUAUUUUAUAAAAUUGAUGUACUCCAAGUUGCUCCUCACUUUGUCCAGAGUGUGCAUGCCUUGGGUUGUGCCUUGUCUCAAAGCUUUAGAAGACCUUUUGUGCCUGAGGUUUUGAGGACAAUGUAUUGGUAUUAGAUUUGGCACAUCUGCUGUGUAUGGACAUUUUUCUAUCAUAGAAAUAUUAUAAGCAGAAAUAUUUAUGUUUUUGAACACCAAAAACAAUCAAAAUUAGAUCUUGUAUUUUGCUUUGUUUUUGUUUUGCAAGGAAUUCUGGUUUUUGCUAAUUUUUCUCUAUCAAGCGGUUGAACUGUUAUGAUGCCUGCUGUGUCUUGAGAGAAAAUCAAGAAGGAAAACUGACUUGAUUUCUAUGUAGUUUGAAUGCUUGGAAAAAGAUGUGAGCGGUGCAUUUCCCAUGUAAAACUCAUGAGCCUGACAAUUUCUUCAAGAAGAAGAGCAAAGAAUGAAAUUUUAACAACAUGAAAAACAGACUUGAUCUCCUUAAAAAAGCAAUAACUGUUGAUUUUUGUAAUGGGCAUACCAUAACUCUAAUUUAAUAAGAGAUUAGACAUGUAUAAACUGCUGAUAAACUCUGUUUCAAUUUUGGAGGUUUUGGCUGGAUUUUCUUUAUUUUAUGCAGAGCAUUUUAGUCCAAAGAAUGUGUUACUACUACUAUGACUUAAUAAGAGCAAAGCUAGAUUGUAUAACUUACAAAUAUGGAGUAGGGCUAUAUUGUCUGAUUUUAAUAUAUUCAGGGAGGGAAAUUAAUAAAUCCAGCUAAAUGACAUGAAGCAGCUGUGAAUCUGUGAUUAUAAACCAUGAGGAUGGUGUGAAAAAGAAAAUUGAAACU